AGUUAAUGAACUUGAAUAAGUAUAUGUUUUGAAAACAUAAUAUAAAGUAUAAAACCUUUAUUAACUU
rnacentral:tRNA from 1 species